UACACAGUCUAGAAACUAUUACAAUACAAAGAGGAAUUGAUUCAGGUUCCCUUUAUUGGUAUAGUAAAUUUUUUUAAUUUUUAAUACAAAAGAAAUCAGCGCGAAAAACAGUCACAAGCGACUACUUUCCCCAUUGUUAACAACGUUAUGGAGGGAAUGUUAUGACUGAUCCGGGUAGUCAGCGCCCCUAGCGAGUGCCCCAAAAUUUGUCCACGGAAAAAGCAGACGAACAGCCCAAAACAGGCCUAGCAGACGACAGUUCUGGGACCUCUAAUGUUAGACCAUGGCAACACGAUCACUUAAUGACGAAGUUUUUACAGACCGCAGAAUAAUAAAACUUGGUUAACACCAAAAUCACGGAUUCUCAAACAACAAAGUUUGAUCAAGGGCGAGUGAAGUGGGCGAGAAAUACUCAAGAUACAAGAGUUUGAAUGGAGACUGAAAAUUCGACGUCAGUAGGCCUAAGGAGACGACGGUAAUUCGAAACAGUCACACAUAAAAUUGCUAUAGUGUUUAAUACGCACAUUAUUAAAAAGGUCGCCAAUCCCAAAAUAUUGUAACCCAUCCAAUUAGGGUAGAAUGGGGCUAGUUGGCAGGAGGGCAAGUAGACAAUUCUUAAUUUAGAAGAACUAAGAACUAUGUUCAAGAGAUUUUAUUGAAAUUAUUCGUGGUCCGUUUUAUAUUUAUUAUUUAUCGUCCGCACAUUUGUGCAAAGUUUUGUAGCUUUAUCUCAAAUAGUUUAGGAAAUAGAAAACAACGAAAUUUUUUGCGUCAAAUAAACAACAGUUUCUUGCUUAGUAUUCAUCAAUUAUAUAUUUUCUUGGUAUGCAUAUAAUUUUUGAAAAAUAUAAGUAUUUUAGAAAAUUGUGUUCUCUCUUGAACUGUCACAAUGGAUUGGUUUUAAUCAAUUAUAAAGACUUAUAAAUAUUAUUAUUUGAAUAAACCCAGGGUUGGGGUUAGUUGAUACAUUGCAACAUGGGGCAUGUCGGCUUAUGCAUAAUACAUGCAAAUCUAUAUUAUUUUUAGAUUUUUUCAUUUACAGUACCCACCCAACUAUUAGGUACACCCCCCUUUUUUCAGUGCAUUCUUAAGGCACUACGUGUCUUAGAAAAAAUGCAAUAACUCUUGAACCGCUUGGGCUAGAUUUUUUUCCUUUUUUCCCUGAGUAGAUCUAAUGAUGAUCUACAUUUUUUAUACACAUGAAGUCGUCGUAGGAUUAACCUCCACGGCGCUACGGUAUCGUUCAGUUUAUUAGGUACACCCCGUUUUCCCCCAUAUGCGCCGUGUUAAAUACGGCGUUUUCAAAAAUAUACAAAAAAUACUAAAAAUAAAGCUGAAAUCUUUUUCUUUGUGCCAGAAGAUGCACAAUUCUUCACUCUAUACUAUGAUUUACAGUCAAACCAACUAAAAGAACCCUUCUCUAUACCCCGAAGUUUACACCCCUCAACAUUUUUACGGCAAAAUCAAAACUGGCGAUGUCGCCACCAGAGGCACUGCAAGAUUCGGGCUGUUGCUACCAGCCGCCAGCUUUCACAGAAUAUGGUUUCAAUUUUAAUCUUAGUUUCAUUAGAAAAUAAACAAUGAAAUAUGCAAUAUGCGAUGCGAAAAUGAAAAUAAUCAGGGAAAAAAGGCAAAAAAUCUAGCCCAAGCGGUUCAAGAGUUAUUGCAUUUUUUCUAAGACACGUAGUGCCAUAAGAAUGCACUGAAAAAAGGGGGGUGUACCUAAUAGUUUGGUGGGUACUGUAAGUAUAUUUAUCUUUUUGUAAGCUAUCACAACUGAUUUCUGAGUUUCCCACUCUGAAAUAACUACAGAAUUUCAUUUAUUGUAAUGUUAUUCUAGUUCGUUUAAAACAUCAACAUUUGACUGAAAUUCCCAUUUGAAAUACAUUGGGCUAACUUACCCCACCACCACUUCCAACUUACCCCGUUCGAGGGGCAUGUAGACAAUUUUUUUGAACGUUGAUUUCGAUAUGAAUUCUUUAACAUAGAUCAAAUAAAGAAACCCCGAGAAAGCUGGCUAUCUGAACUUUCUUUUAGAACUUUUCGGGUAUCGAAAUAUGACAAAUUAAAGAAACGAGAGAAGAAAUACAAAAUAAUACCAACUAGCCCCACCCUCCCGUACUAGUAAGGGCUACGAAAGUUUUGGAGUAGAAGCAGACAAAUUGUUGCUGUUGCUAGGGGAGAUCGGACCCACCUUAGACAAUCCCGCCAUUUCCCACAUAUUUUGAACAGUUGUAGCCAGAUGUUCAAAAAAUUAAACACAAAAUAUCAAUCUUACCUCCAUGCACCUCCCACAUUUUUAUUAAAUUUUUUUUUGUCAUGUUAUCUACAAUACUAGUUUUAAAUUUUCGAAAUUUCUGGACAGUAAUAGGGUAAAACUGGACAGCCGUGUGUACCAUGUUACAUAGGUUACCAUAAAUUUAGCUACAGGGCUUUUAUCUUUCUGGAUUGCUGACGAGUUAACUGGCAGAUAUUUCCACACAGAAACUGCAGAAUUUUAUAUGUGUGAGGCACCUAGCAUCAUUGAUGAACAAUUCUCAUUAUAAUUUUCUCUUGCUGCGUGAAAUGCCCCGUAGUUAUGUUCGCAAAUCUACAACAAUCCUGCACUCUCAUUCUUUUUGGGGUAUUCGAGGGGUAUUCGAACUAGUAGCGAUUUGGUUUUUGCUACUAAUAGUACAGGAGGGUAUUCUAUUAGUAGCAUAUAUGUUCUAGAAUAGGGGUUCGAAUACCCUUAGCAUAGAGUGUAUUCGGGGGGUAUUCUAACCCCUAUUCUAGAAUUGACAUGCUACUAAUAGAAUACUUUCCUCUUCUAUUAGAAGAUUCCAGCAUCCGUCUCGAUAUCUAGACCUAUACGUAUAGCUCAGAUAAAACCAAACACUGGAUUCAAAAUUAAAGCAUUAAAUAAAACAGAACUGACAGAAGAUAAUACUCAAGUAAUCUGUAUUGAGAACACGUCAAAAUAUAAGAAAGACAGAUUAAAGCGAUUAAAGCACGUGGUUCUUUGUUCUGUUGGUGGAAACAAAUCAAGUUUGCCAUUCUUUGUCACCAAGUUGUUCACAAGGAUCUGGACAAUUGUUAUCCUCUCGACUUCGGUAAUGAAAGCCUCAAGGCGUUCCAUAUAGGGUCCAACAAUCAUAUUUCCUUCGUCAGUUUCGUUUAAAAUUUCGAUGACGUUAACAUCUCUCUGAAAAUAAUAAAAAUAUUCAGUUGAAAUUAA
rnacentral:lncRNA from 1 species